UGACUUACCUGCUGCUGUGGGAUAUUCAUUGGGAUUUCAGUGCUGCUUUUGGACAAACUUCCUGAUCCAGUGUUUGUUAGAAUCGUUAUUUGUGAGAAGAAACCUGGGUGUGCUCAUUUCUUGCUGAGGUUCCCCUCUCUGCCUUUGUCUCCAGCUCUAAUCCCUCUCUGCAAACACCUGCCUGACUUGGAAACAGCCCCAGGGAUGGCUCAGCUCAGAACUGAUCACAGACAGACCCUCUUCACUUCCACCCAAUCCCACACUGCUUGCAGAUGGAACAGGGGAAAACCUCUGCAGCUUGUGGGCUCUGACAGGUUUACCUGUCAGGCUGAAGAGAGACAUCACAAAGUUUCACCUGAGCACGAGGCUCUGGUGUGAGGAGCUAGGAGGAGGGGAUUUCCUGAGGAUUAUGGAAAAACAUCUUCAUUUCCCAGCCAAAUCCCAAGGUGAGGGUGCAAACCAGCCAGGCACAGUGCCAGGGUGAGCAGGGCUGGCUGCUGCCAUCCUGAGGUUUUUACAGCAGAGC